GCCAGUGUGGUGUAGUGGUGUGAACACUAGAUUACAACUCUGGAGACCAAGGUUCAGAUCUUUGCUCAGCCA